GAUGAACGCUGUCUACAGGCUUAACACAUGCAAGUCGAGGGGAAACGACGGGGAAGCUUGCUUCCCCGGGCGUCGACCGGCGCACGGGUGAGUAACGCGUAUCCAACCUGCCUCUGACUGAGGGAUAACCCGUCGAAAGUCGGCCUAAUACCUCAUGGCAUCGUCUGCGGGCAUCCAACGACGAUUAAAGAUUUCAUCGGUCAGGGAUGGGGAUGCGUCUGAUUAGCUUGUUGGCGGGGUAACGGCCCACCAAGGCUACGAUCAGUAGGGGUUCUGAGAGGAAGGUCCCCCACAUUGGAACUGAGACACGGUCCAAACUCCUACGGGAGGCAGCAGUGAGGAAUAUUGGUCAAUGGGCGGGAGCCUGGACCAGCCAAGUAGCGUGCAGGAUGACGGCCCUAUGGGUUGUAAACUGCUUUUAUGCGGGGAUAAAGUGAGGGACGUGUCCUUCAUUGCAGGUACCGCAUGAAUAAGGACCGGCUAAUUCCGUG
rnacentral:rRNA from 1 species